GACAGAGGGUGCAAACGUUGUUCGGAAUUACUGGGCGUAAAGCGCGUGUAGGCGGCCAUCUAAGUCGGGCGUGAAAUCCCUCGGCUUAACUGAGGACGUGCGGAAGAAACUGCAAGGCUCGAGUCCGGGAGAGGGGGGUGGAAUUCCCAGUGUAGCGGUGAAAUGCGUAGAUAUUGGGAGGAACACCGGUGGCGAAGGCGGCCCCCUGGACCGGUACUGACGCUGAGGCGCGAAAGCGUGGGUAGCAAACGGG
rnacentral:rRNA from 1 species